GACGAACGCUGGCGGCGUGCUUAACACAUGCAAGUCGAGCGGUAAGGCCCUUUCGGGGGUACACGAGCGGCGAACGGGUGAGUAACACGUGGGUGACCUGCCCUCAGCUCUGGGAUAAGCCCGGGAAACUGGGUCUAAUACCGGAUAUGACUCCACGGUGCAUGUCGUGGGGUGAAAGCCUUGUGCGGCUGAGGAUGGGCCCGCGGCCUAUCAGCUUGUUGGUGGGGUGAUGGCCUACCAAGGCGACGACGGGUAGCCGGCCUGAGAGGGCGACCGGCCACACUGGGACUGAGACACGGCCCAGACUCCUACGGGAGGCAGCAGGUGGGGAAUCUUGCGCAAUGGGCGAAAGCCUGACGCAGCGACGCCGCGUGAGGGAUGACGGCC
rnacentral:rRNA from 1 species